CUGACACAGGUGCUGCAUGGCUGUCGGUCAGCUCGUGUCGUGAGAUGUGGGUUAAGUCCCGUAACGAGCGCAACCCUUGUCCUUAGUUACCAGCACGUUAUGGUGGGCACUCUAAGGAGACUGCCGGUGACAAACCGGAGGAAGGUGGGGAUGACGUCAAGUCAUCAUGGCCCUUACGGCCUGGGCUACACACGUGCUACAAUGGUCGGUACAAAGGGUUGCCAAGCCGCGAGGUGGAGCUAAUCCCAUAAAAACCGAUCGUAGUCCGGAUCGCAGUCUGCAACUCGACUGCGUGAAGUCGGAAUCGCUAGUAAUCGUGAAUCAGAAUGUCACGGUGAAUACGUUCCCGGGCCUU
rnacentral:rRNA from 1 species